rnacentral:rRNA from 1 species
AACGAACGCUGGCGGCGUGCCUAACACAUGCAAGUCGAGCGAGAAAGUCUUCGGACGAGUAAAGCGGCGGACGGGUGAGUAAUACCUAGGUAAUCUACCUUUAGGUAGGGAAUAACUAUGCGAAAGCGUAGCUAAUACCCUAUGUGGUUUCAGAUCGUUGGGUCUGAAAAGAAAGGGGGUCGUAAGAUCUCUCGCCAAGAGAUGAGCCUGGGCCCGAUUAGCUAGUUGGUAAGGUAAUGGCUACCUAAGGCUUCGAUCGGUAGCUGAUCUGAGAGGAUGAUCAGCCACACUGGAACUGACACACGGUCCAGACUCCUACGGGAGGCAGCAGUGGGGAAUAUUGCGCAAUGGGGGAAACCCUGACGCAGCGACGCCGCGUGGGUGAUGAA